AGGGAUUUAGCUCAGUGGUACAGUGCCUGUCUGGCAAGCAUGAAGUCCUGAGUUUCAUUCCCAGCAGCCCUC
rfam:Cavia porcellus supercont2_45 genomic scaffold, whole genome shotgun sequence.